UCAACCAGCUACGAAGGGCGUUUCCAUCCCUCAACCUUGAGGACCAGGUCGUUUCCAAGGGGAAUGGAGAUGAUAGACAGACUCUGGAGGAAGAGGAGGUUCUGGGCGAUGUGCGAGCACAACUGGAGGAAGACUUGGAGUUGGAGAGGACGGAGCCAGAUCAAGCGGAGACUGGAAGCAGCAACACGGAGGUGGGAUGCCCGGUCAGGGUGAAGAAGCUGUCCUUGCG
rnacentral:lncRNA from 1 species